rnacentral:lncRNA from 1 species
CUUCAGCAGGAACAUGGACAGCUCAUCCACAGUAAUGGGAGGGGGCAGGGGGAUGAUUGUCCUGUUGGGAAAUGUGGAACUUCUUCCUGACCCAUCCUGGUUUACUCAUUAAAUGUGCCUCAAGGUCAUCGGAUGAAAGAGAAGAUUGGAAGAAGCUACUGAAGGUAAAGCAGAAAUAUAAGGGAUAAUUCCUCAACUACAGUGGACAGAGCUGGAAUCUGAGCCAAGCGGAGCAGUCAUGCUGAGUUCAGGAAGCCUCACUGCUAAAUGCCACCUAUCAAAGUGGCCUCCCCUGACCAUCCUGUGUAAAAUAAUCCCUCCUUCCUCUCUA